AAAUAAAUACAUCUAGUCAUAAAAGUUAAAACUUAAAACGCACGAAAUUAGAAAUAAAGUAAUUUUUGGAAGCUAAAAAAGAAAGGGUUCAGUUUUCCUUUUGGACGCGACGGUUUGUCAUUUAAGACGAGGAAGGUAGCGGCGGACGGGGAGUACAACAAACGCAGAGAAUGGCGGAGGAUGGCGGAGUAGCCACAAUAACUGGAAGGAAUGAACACGAAGAAAGAGAAGACGAAAGAGAAACACCGAAAGAGAAGAAAGAGAUGUCUCCAUGGGAGCAGCACUCGGCGGUGAUUAAGCUUCCCCGGUUCGACUACAACGCCCCCUCCUCUCUCCUUCAUGGCUCCCAUUCGGGCUUUCUUAUCACUUGUACUAUCAAACGGGAGAAAAGCGCUACCAAGGAAGCAAUCUCUAUACUCCACAAGUUUGCCAGGCCCUUCAGCAAGGGUUCUUAUAACAGUUUGAACAACCUUGAAGAUGAUAAUGCUUCUAAGAAAAGAAGGGUAUGCACAGAAGAUGAUGCUGAGGAGUGUUUGGACAACAAGGAAAAGGAAACAGCCUCUGCCACUGCUAACUCUGGAGAUGGUAUUGAGUGUAAGCUUUUAAGCGGGAGCGGUAAUAGAGCAGAGACAGACGCCGAAGGAGUUCCUGGUCUUUCCCUGGUUAAGCUUACAAGGAGUGGUUUGCUUCUCUUUACAUUUCCGGAGGACGCAUUGCCGGACACUGUUGAUAUUGUGUCAAAUAUCAUUCAAGCUUAUGAAUCAGGGAGUGUUAAAUCACCAGCCUGGUGCCAUCGCAUUUUCCCAAUCCAGGCUACCUGUGGUUUAAAUGAAAAAGAGCUGCAAGAAGUAGUAUCAAUGCUAGUUAAAAAGUUUGUGGAUGAUAAACAGAACAUACUUGAACAACCUGUAAAGUUUGCUGUUGGGUACAACCGAAGAGGAAUUGAAGAGACGAAGUCUGUGAAAGAAAAAUCAAAGGAUUCCGAUGCAUUCAGUUUGCUAGACCGCAAUAAGUGCUUUGGCAUAGUGGCUUCUGCAGUCAAUGGUGUGGUGGGAGAUUCAGUAGUUGACCUCAGGACUCCAGAGCUGUGUGUUCUUGUCGAAGUGCUCCCCAUUUCCGGAGUGCCAAAUGGGUCGAUAGUGGUUGCUGUCUCUGUCCUCCCUAGGAACCUUGUUAGUACGAAGCCUCGGCUCUGCGUCAGGGCCUUGAAUUCAAAUACAAAGGAAGGGUCUAUGGCUGAAUGAGAAGUCCCGGUGAUUCUUUCAGAUGGCUUAUGCUGGAAUACAUGGCGCAUCCCUUAUGACUCUUUGAUACAACUAAAAGUAGCCCCUCUCAAACUCGGCUGAAGAGAGUACAACCAGAAGAAUCAUGAGAAGGUAAAACAAGAAGAAGAUGAACAAGAAAAGAAGAUAAUAAUGAAGAAGAAUGAGGAGGAGAUGUUUUGAGUUAUGCAGAAUACUAGCUAGAUUUAAAAUUUACAUGCAUGUGUUUUUGUGAUUGAUUGAAUCUUGUUUGUGUGCUUGUUGUGAACUGAGUUUGUUUGUGAAUCAUCAUCAUUAAGUAAUUUCGGUACAUUUUGGAUUUAAAUAAGGUGCAUUUGGUCUCAUUGAAUUGGAUUUGAUGUAAUUAGUUCAUGUAAGUUAAUUGUAGUAUUUCUGGUGUCAUUUAAGCCAUAUUGUUGACUUUUUUGGAUUUAAAAUUUACAUGCAUGUAUUUUUGUGGAUGAUUGAAUCUAGUUUGUGUGUUUGUUUUAAGUUGAAUUUGCUUGUGUAUCAUCAUUAUUAAGUAAUUUCGGUGCAUUAUGGAUUUAAAUAAGUUGCACUUGGUCUUUUUUUUUUUACUGAGUUUGUUUGUGUGUCGUCGUCAUUAAGUAAUUUCGGUGCAUUCUGAAUUUAAAUAAGGUGCGCUUGGUUUCAUUGAUUUAGAUUUGGUUAAUUAGUUCAUGCAAGAUAAUUGUAGUACUUCUGGUGUCAUUACUGAUAACUUUUUUGGAUUUAAAAUUUACAUGCAUGUAUUUUUGUGGAUGAUUGAAUCUAGUUUGUGUACUUAUUUUGAACUGAGUUUGCUUGUAUGU